rnacentral:lncRNA from 1 species
AACAAUUAGUUUCGGAUCAUCUAAUUAAUUUUUAAAAUCUGUUGCAUGCUGUCAUUCCAAUCAUCGAUCCUAAAACUCCCUAAUAAAAACUAAACGAGAUGAUUAUCAUAGCUCAUGCAUGAGACUGAUGAGAAUACAAGCAGAUCAACCCGGCAACAUGUGUAAUGUAAAGAAAACAUGCAUUCUUACGGCCAACAAGCUAGCAAACUCUGGCAAGCAGAUCGAGCAAUGGCUACGAACUAACUCCCUAUGCACAGCACGCGACGCCACGUACAUUACACAAACCGAUCGAUGGGGAGGGGGAUAGAGAUGAGCAAGUAGAUAGACGCAACAAAUUAAUUAGGGUACAAACAAAGGCUAGCCAGCUAGCUAUAUAGGUAGCAGACGAUCGAGAUGAACUGCAGUGAUGCAGCAGCCAGGCAGGAAUUAACAACGAAGACGAUAGAUGGAGGAGAGGUAGGUAGCAGCAGGCAGUACGAUCGAGUAUCUAGGCGUCGAUGACGCGGAAGGCGUCGCGGUUCUUGAUGACGAUGUC